GAGAGAGAGAGAGAGAGAGACAGAGAGGUGUAUCAGUGUGUGUGUAACCUUCGUGGAGUGUGUACGUGCCGCUGUGUGCGUGUGUGCGUGUGUGCAUUGAUCGUACCUUUUCUCAAGAAGUGUCGCACAAGAUGUCGACAGUGACGCCAGGAGAGAAUAAUGCGGCGGAAGCAAGAACUAAGAAGACCACUGAGGAAAUAUUUAAGCAAGGCAUCAAAACUGACGAAGUGACGGCUGGCUAUGACAAGUGGGCCGAGAAUUACGAUGAGAUCAUUAGAGAGGACUGGUACAACGCCCCUAACUUAAUCCUAGCCGAGGUCCUUCAGCGAGUCCCUGCCUCCUCCCGUGCCUCCUGCAGGGUCCUGGACGUGGCGGCGGGAACAGGACGAGUGGGGCAGGACCUGAGGAGGGAAGGGUUCAGACAUAUAGAUGCAGUGGAGCCCUCUAGUGGCAUGAUGGACAGACUGAAAGCCACGGGCGCCUACACCAAUAUGUUCCUGGAAUACGUGGGCACCGGGGAGUCAACGGUGCCCCAAGACACAUAUGACCUUGUGUUGAUUUCUGGUGGGAUGGGCGAAGGUCACGUGCCAGUGAGUGGGAUCGACGACCUGGUGAGGGCCGCCAAAAAAGGGGGCCUCAUCUCCAUUGUAAUGCGGAAAAACUUCCUUGAGAUAGUGGAGGCAUACAAGGACAAACUGGAACCUUAUAUGGAGCAGCUGGAGGAGAGAGGCGUCUGGCAGAAGGUGGAGCGGAGCGUGGUCCCCAAUUACUACUUCAACAAUGAGGGCGUGAUCUUCACCUACCGCAAAGCAUGAGGGGUUACAUAUGAUUACAUAUUACAUACAUUGCACAUAAUUGCAUAUAUUUCAUAAAAU